UACGUAGGGCGCAAGCGUUAUCCGGAAUUAUUGGGCGUAAAGAGCUCGUAGGCGGUUUGUCGCGUCUGCCGUGAAAGUCCGGGGCUCAACUCCGGAUCUGCGGUGGGUACGGGCAGACUAGAGUGAUGUAGGGGAGACUGGAAUUCCUGGUGUAGCGGUGAAAUGCGCAGAUAUCAGGAGGAACACCGGUGGCGAAGGCGGUUCUCUGGGCAUGUUCUGACGCUGAGGAGCGAAAGUGUGGGGAGCGAACAGG
rnacentral:rRNA from 1 species